GACGAACGCUGGCGGCGUGCUUAACACAUGCAAGUCGAACGGAAAGGCCCUGCUUUUGUGGGGUGCUCGUGUGGCGAACGGGUGAGUAACACGUGAGUAACCUGCCCUUGACUUUGGGAUAACUUCAGGAAACUGGGGCUAAUACCGGAUAGGAGCUCCUGCUGCAUGGUGGGGGUUGGAAAGUUUCGGCGGUUGGGGAUGGACUCGCGGCUUAUCAGCUUGUUGGUGGGGUAGUGGCUUACCAAGGCUUUGACGGGUAGCCGGCCUGAGAGGGUGACCGGCCACAUUGGGACUGAGAUACGGCCCAGACUCCUACGGGAGGCAGCAGUGGGGAAUAUUGCACAAUGGGCGGAAGCCUGAUGCAGCAACGCCGCGUGCGGGAUGACGGCCUUCGGGGUGUAAACCGCUUUCGCCUGUGACGAAGCGUGAGUGACGGUAAUGGGUAAAGAAGCACCGGCUAACUACGUG
rnacentral:rRNA from 1 species